rnacentral:lncRNA from 1 species
CUGGGGUUCCUUAUAUCGACCUGUGACACAGACUGACAAAUACUGGUCUUUUUUUUCUUUUUUUUCUUUUUAAUGCUGCUUUUUGAAGCCUAGAUAUUUCUCUGCUUUAGCACGUUCUUGUUUCUCCUGGGUGCCCUGCAAGUCUUAUGAGUAGGAAAUCAGCUACUGAAAGCAGAGCAGAGUGGAAUUGAAGAAGAAAUGGUAGCUAGCUUUGGUAACCUUACAGAUGUGAAUACUGGAUUAAAUGGAGCAGCAGGACCUCGUGGGAAGGCUGACUGCUCCAAGAUGCCACAGCCACUAGAAAUUCACCUCAGAUGCCUGAGGGGAGUCAAAGAUAAGGUCCCUAAAGGCCUCUACACUCUCAAAGUUUCUGUCCUCAGCCGCUUAGGUGGUGCCUUGGUGGAGUGGCCUGAACUGGAGGAGCAGCCUCAGGCCAGGACGACACGGCCUGUUAGUCAUGGUGGAAACUUCUACAACACUGAAAUCUACUUUGGACAAAGUAUCCAGACAAGCACACAAGGAAAAAUGGUUUUGUUCCCAGAGGUUGCUCUUCCUCUCCUCUUCUGGACCAAGAAUUGGACUAUCCAGGAAAUGCUGAAGGAACAUGAACUCUGGAUUGUCACUGCUUCCCCUGCGAAGUGAGUGUUGCUGCAUCCCUGGCUGGACUGUAGCCUGUGGUUGAACAGAUUGCUAGCUGAGGUGUGAUGAGGAAUCCAGAACAGCAUCAGGGAAGAGACAUGAAUUGGAGCAGCUGCUGGACCAAGAAAGAGAGGAAAGCUGCCUGCUCCUCCUCCGGAGCCUGGGGCAGGCAGAGCAGCACUGCUGCGUGACUCAGCCCUGCAUGCCGAACCAGCCACGUCUUCAUGAGACUCCUUGGCUCCAAGUGGUUUCUGG